GAUGAACGCUGGCGGCGUGCCUAACACAUGCAAGUCGAACGGAGUCGUUUUGGAAAUCUCUUCGGAGAUGGAAUUCUCGACUUAGUGGCGGACGGGUGAGUAACGCGUGAGCAAUCUGCCUUUAAGAGGGGGAUAACAGUCGGAAACGGCUGCUAAUACCGCAUAAAGCAUUAAAUUCGCAUGUUUUUGAUGCCAAAGGAGCAAUCCGCUUUUAGAUGAGCUCGCGUCUGAUUAGCUAGUUGGCGGGGUAACGGCCCACCAAGGCGACGAUCAGUAGCCGGACUGAGAGGUUGAACGGCCACAUUGGGACUGAGACAUGGCCCAGACUCCUACGGGAGGCAGCAGUGGGGAAUAUUGCGCAAUGGGGGAAACCCUGACGCAGCAACGCCGCGUGAUUGAAGAAGGCCUUCGGGUUGUAAAGAUCUUUAAUCAGGGACGAAACAAAUGACGGUACCUGAAGAAUAAGCUCCGGCUAACUACGUG
rnacentral:rRNA from 1 species